UCGAGGGAUUAGCCCCUCCCGCCUGGCGGCAGCCAAAGGCGGAAGAACGCGAGCCUGGGGCGGAGCUCCUUGAGCGGGGCGGGGCGGGCGGAGUGCCUCGGCGGAGGGGCCCGGCGGGAACAAACAGCCGCCGCCGCGGGAGCGCGGCUCGGGUGGCCAGAGGCGGGUCCUCCUCUUCCCCGCAGACUCCUCAAACUUUCAGUUCCCUGGAGCCGCUGCCCUCAGUGCGCUCAGCCCUGGAUGUUAAGGUUCACGGGGACGCCAGCAGGAGCCCGGAGCAGUAGCGAGAGUCCCCACCCAUUAUCUCCCCAAGGCAGUGCCCGGGCCACUAAGGCCGAAGCGCAGUUGGCGCGCCAGCGGAGCCUCAGACGCCGGGACCGACGCCGCCGGAGUGGGGCCUGCCGGAGCCGGAGUGGCUUCCGGACCAAGAGGAGACGCACUUGAGUGAUCGCGAGGAGCAAACUUGGCGUUCUCAGCCUCGGUCUUCGGAGAGGUGAGAGAUUCCGGCUGCGCCCCUCUCCUCCCCUCCAAGGCCAGGACCCAGCCACCCAUCCCUUUGCCUCGCCGCAGGACUCCAGAUGUGGUAAUGUGUGCGGGGAGACCCAAGGAGCGCGCCGCCUGCCCGAAGCCCGCUUCCCCAAGCUUCUUUGGGGCGCUUUGAUCGCAUUUCGGGAGCGCGGACCCGUCCAUCUCUCUUGAGUUUGCCUGUAUCCGACCUUUUUCUGUCUUGGUAUCCGUUUGUCUAACUCAGGCUCUGUGAUUCUGUGUUUCUCUCACCCUCGGUGAAUCUCUGCUUCUAUUUCCUACGGAAACCCUGCAUUUGUUUGGAUGUCUGUUCGUGAAUCUGAGAAUCCCUCACUCAGUUUCUCCGUUUCUCCCACCAUCAGACGCACGGCAGGACCCCCACCCUUCCCCCACCCUUUUCUGGCUGGACUUGUAGGCUAUACAGACAGCAGGACCCCCACGGAGACCUCCCUCAAUGAACCCUGACCUCAGACGCAAGCCAGUGUUGCCUUCAUCUUUCAGGAUCCUGUGCACACAGUGUUGGUCCUGUGCCCUUUUUUCUUACCAGCUGGGUUCCUGCCCAUGCCGUUAGGCCUCCUUCUCCCCUGGCCUCCCUCCAGGAACCCAGCAACUAGUAGCUCCAGCUCAGACUGGGUCCAUCGCAACCUCUGGGGGUGACAGGGGAAAUGGCCACUGGAAUUGGUCAAGUACUGAGCGGAUGGAUGGGCUGCUGCCCCAACAGCGCCCCGCAGUGGUCAAAGGUCCAGUAUGCGAGGCCCGAGACCCAGCUUCGCUCAGCUGUCACAGGCUGUAGGACAGUCAGCAAGUUACUUCCCUUGUCAGCCUGUUUCCUGCUCUAUAUAUAGUAGUUAAGAGCAAAGACCCUGAAGCCGGGCUGCUGGGAUCCCAGUCCUGGCUUCACCACUUACCCGCUUUGUAAUAUCUUUCUGUAACUUUGCACCUCUGUUUCUUCCUCUGUAAAAGUGAGGUUAAAAGCAUCCAUGUCAUAAGUAAUGUGUAAAAGUAGCCAUAUUACUAUAGACUACUUACAAAGAGGAUAUUGAGGGCACUUUGCUGACUCCUGGGAAGAGAGAAGGGGGUUGGGGGUAGUGUAGUCUUUCACCAGGAUCUCAAACCCUGGACUAGCCUUCGGCUGGGUUACUGCUGCUGUCUAAUCCUCUCCAGUCACUAUGCUGAGUAGGUCCCCUGUAGCUAAGUCCUGGGAGCGGGCAGGAGGGGAUUUGUAGCCCCUGUAGGCUACAUCUCAGUAGGGCAUGUGAGGGUAGAUGAAAUCUCCCUUUUAUCCAACAGCAGCCUCCAACCUAGUGUAUUCCACAGGUUGGGCAACAGACACCCGGAGUGGAGGAGCAGGGAAUCACCUAGUCUUCUGCAACAUGACAGAGCAAGGCCAGGUGCAACUCUUGUCACGGAAUUCUCAUGAAAGGUUCUGCAUCCUCCCCAGCCAUCUAGCUAAGAGCAGAAAGAGUGGAAGGCAGGUCUGGAUAUUCAUAUCCUAUGAGAGCAAGUCUGCUGCCCCCCCUCUUCUGGGACCUCAGACCAAAGGGAUCCCCGGAGUGUGCUGGGUCUGCAUAAGUAGACUGUCCUUGGGAGAAAAAGAGGUCCAGUCCUCAAACCAUGGCCAGGAAAUUAGACAGGGACCAGUGGCCCUGGAAUCAGAAUUUCCAGAUGAUAGGACCCUCCAGGAAAAAAGAAAAAAAGGCCUUGGAGAGAAAUAUUUUGCAUGAGUCCAAAUAGACUCACACUUCCAGGGUUGCUGAAUUUAGCAGAUUUAUUUUACCUGGCAAACCUGUGCCUACAACAAGCUUGCUAAUUACUACAUGGAGUUCUCUCUGACACUCGCAGACACCCCACAUCAUCCACCACACACACCCCAGCUCCAACCCAGCUCAGCUCUGCUAAUGUCUAAGUAAGUGGAGAGAAAACAGCACUGGCAUCAUUUCAGCUCCAUCUCACUUUCUGAAUGUCUUCAUUUUUAAAAUGGCAAAUGUGAACCAGUAGCUUCUUUCCUUUCCAGCACUCUCCUGGUUCCCCAGGCUAAAGCCCCCUGCCCAAGUUCAGGGUAAGACUGACUGAGGCAUUUACUGACGAAAUAUCCUGGUUCUAAUGCUCCAGAAAAGACUCUAUGGAGCAGCUGCAGCCACCAUCCCCCACCUCUGCUUGGCCCUGCUGCACACUCUGUGCUCCUGAGACCCAGGUCAAGGGAAGGGGAUUACGCCCCCUCCACCCCUGCUUACAUGGAAUUCUUAAAGAAUCAACCAGAUUCUUCAGAACACACACAGUUGUUCUAGGAGUGGAAACUGAGGCCCAGGAGAUCAUGUGACUUGCUAGGCUUCUGAAGGGCCCUGGGUUGGGCUGGACCCAUGUAUACAGACUCCCAGCCUAGGGCUCCUAUUUACCAAAUAACUCUUCUUAACCCCUGUUGGAGCUCCACUCUUGCCUGUGGGAGAAGUGUUUCUGGGAGCCUCUCAGCCAUCCCAAGACUCUGGGCAAAUUUGAUUUUUAACAAUGCCAGGAGUAGAAGCACUAAGGCUAGGAGAAGGGCAUCCCACAUUCGGGAUUCGUUUAGUUUCCUGCCAUUCUCCCAUGGCUCCAGUCUUUCCUGACUGUAGGCUCAGCCUCUUUGACGUCUUCGAGUCUUGUCUGCCACUCCCCUCCACGAAAAAGUGGAUGCUCCCCCGGAAGCCUGGGCUCUAGCGCCCAUGCCUGCAGCCUCCAAGAUGCAGAAGGUGACUGACUGCGGGUCUUGGUUAUAGUGUCACUGGUAGUUCCCGGCCUCCCUCUUCCUCUGUCUCACUAUUUAGCCACCUCCCUCGAUCAACCCAGAAACGAUUGGAAUGAAGCACUGGGGGGGGGGGCGUGUUUAGGGGUUAUCCCCUCAAAAAUGUUCGGAGCACCGGGGAGAAGUCGAUUCGUGUUUAUUGCAAUGUGUUGCUACCGAUGGCGUCCCUUCCCUUAUGGCUCCUCCCUUCCCUUCUGGUCCCUGUCGACGUGCUGUUCUCCCCAGCUCGCGGGAAAGGAGGGCUCUCGGAUAAUUAUAAGAAUAUAAUUAAGUCAAUUGCGAAACCGGCCAAGAGUGGCGCUGAGCUAGCUAGAGGCAGGGUUGCGGCGCGAAGGUCUUCCGCGGCCUUUCCACGGUUCCAGCCCGGUGAGCGCAGAGGUCCGCCCCCGGUGCAGCCCGGCUGCAUAGUGCCGCCUGAGGACCCCGCAGCUGCACACGUCUCUAGUUUAUUCACAAACCCAGCCAGCCUCGGGAAAGAGGCGGCACCCGCGCAGCCACCCCCUUUUCCAGCCCCUCCGCGGGGCCGCAGCUCUGGAGCGAGAUGGUUGUUCGGCCGCAGUGGGUCCAUUUCCCGACCCCUUUCUCCUCCAGAUCUUCGCCUGCUCAAGAGCGAUCGGCUCCGUUGGCCCCGGGUGGGAAGAGGGAGACUCCAGAUCGUGUGACCUGCAGGAGCGAUGCGGCGGGGCUCCCCACACGCGGGAGCAGGACUCGGGGUUAAGAGUUUAGGGAGAGGCCGGCCUCUCUGCAAGCACAGAAAUGGCAGUGCCUCCGGUGUGUCCACUUUCACCUUGAGCCCACCUGCCCAGCCCAGGCACCGGCUCAGGGGUCAGCGCCUCUACACCUCUCGGAGGAAAUGUCUUUCUCCCCUUCCCGUGUGCAUGGCCACUGCCCCAGGUCUAUGUGGUGGGGGCUCGCAGGAGCACCCUCAAGCGCCUUCACUGCGCAGUGGCCGGACCAGGGCGCUGCGAAGCCUGUGCACUCUUGUUCGUUCGCGGGAAGAGGGUUGCAGGUUCAGGAGAAGGUGGAAAUAGUUCCGCUCCCACAAGCACCCGACCUGGGACGCCGGCUUUCUCAGCAACUGCGGCAAGGCAGGCCCCAUGCGCUUAUGAGAUAUGCCGCUGGGGCAGGGGAGUUGGGGACGCUUCCAGGUGUGUCGGGACGUGGGCCUCAGGUCUAAAUGCUCUGCUAAGUACGUCCUGGUUCCUGGUCCACGCGAGUGUUUCUGCGCCUCCGGGCCACAGUGGCUCUGUGCCCGAGUAUGUCCCUGAGCGACCGGCGCCCUUGCGGGGUCCUCCCCUCCCGACCGCACAUCUGUGCAGGGGACAGCCCUGGAAGGCUCGCCAGCCAGGACCACAGCUUCACCUCGGGCGGGGCCUGAUAGGGCGCGACUUGUUCGGGGAUUCCAGACCCGCUCCGGGCCGCGGCGUGACCCCGGCGGGGAAGGAGGAUCUUGCUGGGGCAGCAGUGCCUCAGGAACGGGACGGCCUUCCACAGCCCUGAAUUGGAGCCAGAGGUGCAGAGCCAUGUGAACCUGGUCCCCUACGCUACACACACAGACACACGCGCGCGCGCGCGCGCGCGCGCGCGAUUUAGCCUUUCGGAGCCCCAGGCAGGGUAACUGGUGAGGCCAUAAGUCCCCGCUCAGGCGAGGAAAUACUGCCGGCGCCUGAGCCCGCUGCAGCUGCUGCGGAGCCGCGUAAGCCCCACCAAAGCGGAGCGAGGGGACCACGGGAGUCCCGUCCCUGCCGCGAAGACGCUGGUGACGGAUUCUUGGGAAACAGCGACCCCUGGAGGAGCCUCGAAACCACACGAAGAGGCAGGAACUGGAUGACUAGGUCGGGGACCAGUGUCCCUUCCCCAACCCACUCCUUUGAAAAUCAUCCAGAGACUCAUUACCUCAGGAUUCCUCUUUGUGCAUACUUGCUUCCUUUCCCAGUCCGUACCUAGGCCUCAAAUCCUAGCUUAGAAUCCCGACUUCUCCAGAAAGGAGCCUUCUUGAAAGCCCAAUUCAUCUUCCCGUCUUCCUACUUUGAGCUCCUCAGAACCUAAAGCCUGAACUCGACUCUAGAGCUAACAGCACUAGCAACCUGCUUUCUGCCUCCCUUUCUCCAAAGAGACCAUUGGUCCAUCCACUCCACUCAUCCUUUGCAUUCCAUGCUGGAUGUGUUCUCCAACCACCCUCAUCCUUGCCACUACCAGUAAAGAAUGGAAGUCAUUUAUUCCAAAAUUGGACUGUAGGUUUUCAAAGUUAGUUUCAAAGAUGGGUAAAUUGAGACCCAGACCGAGGACUGACUUGCCCAAGGUCACACAGCAAAUUGAUUGCAGAGGUGGAACUAGAUCCCAGACUCCCAUUUCCCAGCCCAGAGCAUUCUCCCUUUUACCUGCAUGGGGAGGGCAAAUGCAAGAAGGAACGUGCGUGUCUGUGUGUCUGUGUGUCUGUGUGUGUGUGUGUUGGGGCAGGGAUGAGGAGUCUGCUCCAGGACGGGGCAGUAAGGAAGGACGGCAGGGCAAAGUUGCCCUGGGAGGUCAGACUCUUCCUUCCCCCCAGCACUCACCCAAAUCAAGCUACUCUGAAAGGCUCCAAAUUUCAUGGGGUUGGCUGAGUGUCUUAUACUGGGGCUGGGAACAGCUUCAAUUCAGGCAAAUACCACCCUUUCCUCUGCCCUGGAAAGGGAGAGGGAGACUGUUAAUACAUACACACAGGGUGCAGCUGAGACCUCAGAUCAGCAGGAGCAGGCCUCUGGUGCCUGCAGUUAGAAAGUUAAAGGAGAAGCUGGGAGGGUGAUUUGCAUAUAAUUUGUAUGCGGCUCCAGUGAUACAUGUCCAGCAGCCUGAGACCUUCUCAGAGGAGCUUUCCUUCUGCAAGACGUGUGCUUCUUUGCACAGACUACCAGGCAGACUGGCCCCUGCCUCCUUGUCCAGCCUUGUCUCCAACCCUUGUGCUGUAUUCACAACUGAUUUACUUUCCCUUACCUCUUCACCUUUGCAUGCAGUUCCCUCCUGCCUGGCUCACUCCUAAUCCUGUGUCCAUUUCAAAUGUCAAGCUCUAUGAGCUGCCUCCCCCAACAGCAUCCCACACUGGUCAGGCUGUGGAGGGGCCCUGCCUCUGGGCAACAAAAGCACUAAUUCCCUCUCUUGUCAUGAUUUGGUUCCUAGUCUGCCACCCUCUGGAGACUGUGAGCUCCUUGAGAACAGGCAUUAUGUUGUCUUCGUCAUCACUGUUCCUCUUCUACAAAGUGAGGAUAAUAGUUGUACCUGCCUCACUGAGUGAUUGUGAGAUCAAAUGAGAAUGCAUAUCAGGCACUUAGCCCAGUGCCUGAAACUUUGAAAGAAGCUCAGUAAGUGCUCCCCACCAUGAUAACCAUCAUUAUUAAACACUCUACCUCCUGCCAGGCAUGAAAUCCAACAUAUAGUAGGUACUCAAUUAAUGUUAGAUAUGUGGAUACGUGAAUGAAUGAAUGAAUGAAUGAAUGAAUGAAUGAUAUAACUUAUUUCUGACUCUUUCUGGGACUUCCCAGAAAGUUAUCUUACAACAUUCAAUUAGAAAUAUGUGUUCUCUAAGGACAGACAUUAUUUCUCCCCCAUCAGUCCCAUUCCUGAAGGGAGGAGCACAUGCUCCCAUUGGAAAGAGUUUUCCAUGAUCCCUGAUGCCAGCAGUCAUUGGCUUUUUCUUUCAUGCUGUCUGCCUCAGUUUCUUUCUUUUAAAAUGGUUCUGACCAAUCAAACCAGCCAAACCCUUCCAAAAUCUUCAGGGAAUUCUCCAUCACUUGUAAGACAAAACUCAAUCUCCUUAGCAUGAUGAGCUGAACAUGCUCAGUCUUGGGAUGUCUCACCUCUCUGUUGGGGAAAACCUCCCCUCCUGUAUUCCAUGUGGUCCUGAUGAUACUGUUUAAUCUCUGCGCCCCUCACACUUACCUCCAGGAGCCGCCAGACAACCUGGCUGGAUCAAACAUAGCAUUGUGAGUCCAAAGCCAAGUGAUAGGUCUAAGCAGGAGUAAGUGACCUAAGCUGAGCCAAUCACUCCUCCUAUAAGAUUUGAUAUAAGGACUCCGGGGCUCUGGGAGGGUGCUUCUCCUUUUGGGUCAGAAGAUCAGCGCAUAGGUUUCACUGCCAGCAGCCAGCCUUCCUGCCAUGUGGAGAGAGCUGUUGGACAUCAGUGCCCACCCACAGGAAAAAAAAAAACACCCUAAGGAGACAAAGCUUAGUAACAGUGUCAAGUCCUCUGGCUCUGCCUGAAACUGGAACCCUUAGACUUCCCAGACAUUCCAAAGAUAUUCCCCUUUUUGUUUAAGGUAGGUUGAAUUGAAUUUCUGCUAGUUUGAGUUUAGCUUCACAAACAGCAGAGCCACAGGGGAGAAGGAUCCUGGAUUUCUGAGAUCACAGAGGAGCCGUAUCAUCCUGAACUGCCUGCACAGACUUUCAUGUGAAAAGGAAAUAAACUUCAGUCUUGGUUAAGCCA